rnacentral:rRNA from 1 species
GACGAACGCUGGCGGCGUGCUUAACACAUGCAAGUCGAACGGUGAAGCCCUUCGGGGUGGAUCAGUGGCGAACGGGUGAGUAACACGUGAGCAACCUGCCCCUGGCCCUGGGACAACCACUGGAAACGGGGGCUAAUACCGGAUACGACCCGCCUCGGCAGAGAGUGAGGGUGGAAAGGUUUUCGGCGGGGGAUGGGCUCGCGGCCGAUCAGCUUGUUGGGGAGGUGAAGGCUCCCCAAGGCGACGACGGGUAGCCGGCCUGAGAGGGGGACCGGCCACACUGGGACUGAGACACGGCCCAGACUCCUACGGGAGGCAGCAGUGGGGAAUAUUGCACAAUGGGCGAAAGCCUGAUGCAGCGACGCCGCGUGAGGGAUGACGGCCUUCGGGUUGUAAACCUCUUUCAGCUCCGAAGAAGCGAAAGUGACGGUAGGAGCAGAAGAAGCACCGGCUAACUACGUG